rnacentral:rRNA from 1 species
AGCAGCCGCGGUAAUUCCAGCUCCAAUAGCGUAUAUUAAAGUUGUUGCAGUUAAAAAGCUCGUAGUUGAAUUUCGGGGUCAGUAGGCUGGUCAUGCCACCGGUAUGUACUGGUCUCACUGAUUCCUCCCUCCUGAUGAACCGUAAUGCCAUUAAUUUGGUGUUGCGGGGAAUCUGGACUGUUACUUUGAAAAAUUAGAGUGUUUAAAGCAGGCUAACGCUUGAAUACAUUAGCAUGGAAUAAUGAAAUAGGACGUUCGAUCCUAUUUUGUUGGUUUCUAGGAUUGACGUAAUGAUUAAUAGGGAUAGUUGGGGGCAUUAGUAUUCAAUUGUCAGAGGUGAAAUUCUUGGAUUUAUUGAAGACUAACUACUGCGAAAGCAUUUGCCAAGGAUGUUUUCAUUAAUCAAGAACGAAAGUUAGGGGAUCGAGGACGAUCAGAUACCGUCGUAGU